rnacentral:rRNA from 1 species
GACGCAUGCAGGUGGUUUGUUAAGUCAGAAUCGUGAAAACCCGGGGCUCAACCUCGGAAUAGCAAUUUGAAAACUGGCAGACUAGAGUACUAGUAGAGGGGGUAGAAUUUCAGGUGUAGCGGUGAAAUGCGUAGAGAUCUGAAGGAAUACCGGUGGCGAAGGCGGCCCCCUUGGACAGAUACUGACACUCAGAUGACGAAAGCGUGGGGAGCAAACAGGAUUAGAUACCCUGGUAG